rnacentral:rRNA from 1 species
GGACCCGCACAAGUAGUGGAGCAUGUGGUUUAAUUCGAAGAUACGCGCAGAACCUUACCAACACUUGACAUGUUCGUCGCGACUCUAAGAGAUUAGAGUUUUCGGUUCGGCCGGACGAAACACAGGUGCUGCAUGGCUGUCGUCAGCUCGUGUCGUGAGAUGUUGGGUUAAGUCCCGCAACGAGCGCAACCCUCACUUUUAGUUGCCAUCAUUUAGUUGGGCACUCUGAAAGAACUGCCAGUGAUAAGCUGGAGGAAGGUGGGGAUGACGUCAAGUCCUCAUGGCCCUUACGUGUUGGGCUACACACGUGCUACAAUGGCAAGUACAACGAGUCGCAAUACCGCGAGGUGGAGCAAAUCUCUCAAAGCUUGUCUCAGUUCGGAUAGGAGUCUGCAACUCGACUCCUUGAAGUUGGAGUCGCUAGUAAUCGC